UUCAUUUCAUUCACUUUGGAUUGGAGUCCGCAAGCAUGGACAAAGCUCCUGGGAAAUUAUCCUCAAUGACCCAACAUUGAAAUUUUCCUAUUUCAGGACUCCAACUUCCUUAGCAAAGAGGCGGAGAUUUGAGAGACAGAAUGGUCAAUCUGACAUUGUUCAGGUCCCUUGUUCAGAUAGCUCGUCCCUACUGUCUAAGAAACUGGCAUCUCAAGAUCCCGAUACUGGCAAGGAUGAAUCAGAACUUACUCUUAAAGACUUGGUUAAUAAAAGAAAGGGCACCAUAAG